CUUGCUUCUCUUGAGAGCGGCGGACGGGUGAGUAAUGCCUAGGAAUCUGCCUGGUAGUGGGGGAUAACGUUCGGAAACGGACGCUAAUACCGCAUACGUCCUACGGGAGAAAGCAGGGGACCUUCGGGCCUUGCGCUAUCAGAUGAGCCUAGGUCGGAUUAGCUAGUUGGUGGGGUAAUGGCUCACCAAGGCGACGAUCCGUAACUGGUCUGAGAGGAUGAUCAGUCACACUGGAACUGAGACACGGUCCAGACUCCUACGGGAGGCAGCAGUGGGGAAUAUUGGACAAUGGGCGAAAGCCUGAUCCAGCCAUGCCGCGUGUGUGAAGAAGGUCUUCGGAUUGUAAAGCACUUUAAGUUGGGAGGAAGGGUUGUAGAUUAAUACUCUGCAAUUUUGACGUUACCGACAGAAUAAGCUCCGGCUAUCUCUGUGCCAGCACAUACGGUAAUACAUAGGGUGUAAGGCAUU
rnacentral:rRNA from 1 species